GGGGAGGAGGUGUGCUGAGACGAGCUUUCGGGAAGGCACCUCUGGGCGGUCCCGUUCGCAGUUGUCACUUGGUCUGGAGUUCCCAUUACAAAGGGGCUCCAUAAACCUUCUCGUUGGAGACUGGUACUUGAUCCUUCUCCUUCUCAGGGGAGGGAAGGGAGACAGGUUGGGGAGAUCAAGGAGCCAAGAGGAAAAGGUUUAGUCUGGUCAAGCCUAUAGCAAGAGGCUGGAGCUGCCAAGCAAGUACUGCAGCCAGGAGGCAGACUCAAAAUUUCCUGACCAAGGCAAAAGCCUGGUGGGGGAGGAUGUGCAGGUCACCCAGCCCUUGGCCAGCCAUGGGGAAGGAGCACAUGUGUGUGUGCACCCCCACGUUCCCCACAGCCAGACUCGUCCCAGCUGCUUUGUACAGUCGGAUGGACACAGAACCAAGGGCACGUCGCAAUCUCCGCCUCAGGUUAGGAGAUAAGCAGCCCUGCCUUAAUGAGGACAUGAUAUACCUGGCGAGACUGUACCCUUUGCAGGGAACAACAGGCUCUUUCACUCCGGGCGCUGGCACAGCCGGGAGCAGUCAUGGGGCAGAGGGAACCACGGACAAUAAAUCAGCUCAGCACCACCAGCCACAGGAAGCUGCCAGGGGUGUGGGGCCACCCCAUCAGCCCCACAUAGGCUGCUGUUGGGAAGUCCUGGGGUGCCCCGUAUUGGAUUCCACCAGCAAUCAAAGAAGCAGGGCAAAUCUGGAGGGCUACAGCUUUGCUAAAAACUGGCUUCCUCAAGAACGUUCAGGUGGAGACAGUGGCUCUCCAGCACUGAGGAGAAAGCUGCAUUUCUGCCUCCAGGAUCAGCCGAGGCAAGCCCAUCCCAGAGGGAAAGGACAGCAUUACCACGCCGAGAGACAUCUGCCUUCUGCCUGGGAGGCAAAGUCCAUGCUGAAAGGAGCCAAAUCUUUACUGUACGUAUCUAAAAGCAUUGAAUUAUUAAAGAGAAGAGAUAUCUUAA